CAACCUUUCCACUCCUCAUCUCUACAUCGUCGAGAAACCCUUUUCUCUUCUCUCCGGAACCGUUUCGGCGAUAGACCUCACCACUAAAGCUCUAAUCAAACCUUGAUUUAAUGGCUUCCCUUCGGCUUCUAUAUUUUCCUAUUUAUAUAUCUCUUUUCAUCGCUUUAUGUUUCCAUCAAAUUUAAUAGAAAUCUCUCUGAAACUCAUUCCGAUGGAACUCACCGGCAAGUCGUCAGUUUCCAGCGACAGCAAAACCAGCGAGAAGACCGUCGCCUCCUCUGCGACUGAGAAACCCACUCCGAAACUCACCCGAUGGAACUCACCAGCGACUCUUCAGUCUCCAUCGACAACAGAACCAGCGAGAAGACCGUCGCCUACUCAGCGAAGCAAAUGGCUCCGAAGAAGAAACCUCAGAAGCAAAGCAACAAAGCUUCUUUUUCUUCAUCGUCGUCGUCAAAACCGGAACUUUCUUCAGGUCCCAAGCUUCAGAUUUCGGCGGAGAACGAGGACCGUCUGCGACGGCUCUUGCUCAACUCCGGCCGCGCCGCUCCUCCGGCUCCGGCACCUGUCCACAGCGCGCUUUCCAAAAAUCAGAAGGCGAAGAAACUCAAUACCGUCUACGAGAAGCUCUCUUGCGAAGGAUUUGUAGAUGAUCAGAUUGAGCUCGCUCUCUCUUCUCUCAGGGUAACUCUCUCUCACCUCCUCGCAUUUAUUGGAAUCUUGGAAUUUUAGCUUAACCUAAUUGAGAGUACCUAUGGAGCAACGUUUGAGACUGCACUCGAUUGGCUCUGCUUGAACUUACCGAGUCAUGAGUUGCCUGUGAAGUUUUCUACAGGAACUUCUCGGUUUCCUACCGGAGGUGGUUCUGUAGGUGUGAUAUUGAACUCAAGGGAGGAUUGGAAUGAGUCUUCUGACUCUUCUUCAGUCGAGCUCAAGCAGGAGGAGCCUGAAGUUUUGGUUCAGGUGAAGGGGAAGCAAGAUGAAGAUGCUCUUCGUGCUGACCAAUCAUCUCAAGCUGAUUGGAUCCGUCAGUAUAUGAGAAGACAGGAGGAGGAGGAACUGGAAUCUUGGGAAGAUGAGGUAGAUGGUGUUGGCUCCAUUUGACUUCACAGAAUCCUUAUCGACGAAGAGGGAACUGCUAUUCAAGGUUUUGUUCCAGCCGGUCGUGUAGGAACAUUUGAUCUGACAGCUGGUUCUGUCUAUAACCUGACUACCUGAGGAAUUUUUUUCGGAUCCAAAAACAAAGUUCAGUUUGCGGUUGCUGAUCAUGUUGCCAUCGUCUCAUUUAGUUGGAAUUCUGAUUUAUCGGUUCUUGAAAAUCCUCUGGUUCUAUUUCCAAAAGAUAGGUUGAGGUUCCACAGCUACGAGCAGUUCAAAGGGCCUACCUCUCUAAUCUGCAACAAUAAGAAGUGUGAGAAAAGCGAAGUCACCGGCAUUGCUCAAUAAGUGUUGGUACAUCACGAAGAUUUCUGUUUAUGAUAAGAGUGAGCAAGCAGUUUUUGUCAUUCUCGGUGAUGCUGGAAAGGAUUUGACUGGGAAAUAUGUAGCCGAAUUAUUUGCUAACUACUUUGAGUGUUAGUCUAAUGAGGGAGUAGGAGCUGACCAUUGCGUACCGGUGCCGCGAGCAUUGCUUGAUACAAUAGGGCAGACACGCAGAGUCAUUGUGAAAGUGUCGGAGUGUCGGACCACAAUUUGCAAGGUAAGACUAAGACCAUAACUGUGACCAAGAUACUCCCACCAGAAGAUUCACUUCCAGCAAGGUCCGAUGGUAUUCCGAAUACUGGAGGUGAGGAAACUGCUCCUUCCAGCGUCCUUGGAGAUUCUGCUGGUGAUAGGUCUAGAAAAGCUGCUGAGAGUCUUGAGUCGGACGAAGCCAAGCGGUCCAAGAGUGACUAAUAAGCUUCAACUUAUGUUCAUACGCAGUGAUUAAUUUUGCUGCAGUUCAAGUACUGUUUUUGUGUUCCCUAAUGACUUUUGUCUUCUUUCCAUUUCAAUUUCAGACUUUUGUCAUCUUUUGUUUAAGUUCUUUGAGAACAAUUUUCAUUAUAUGGUUUUUAUUUAUCUUUAAAGCAAUUUUCGUAUUCUA